AGGACGAACGCUGGCGGCGUGCUUAACACAUGCAAGUCGAGCGGAAAGGCCCUUCGGGGUACUCGAGCGGCGAACGGGUGAGUAACACGUGAGCAACCUGCCCCUGGCUCUGGGAUAGCCUCCGGAAACGGGGAUUAAUACCGGACAUUCACUUCCUUCCGCAUGGUGGGUGGUGGAAAGUUUUUCGGCCGGGGAGGGGCUCGCGGUCUAUCAGCUUGUUGGCGGGGUAACGGCCCACCAAGGCGACGACGGAUAG
rnacentral:rRNA from 1 species